rnacentral:rRNA from 1 species
AGAGAGAGACAUGCGCGCAUAUCAAUAAGCGGAGGAAAAGAAACUAACUAGGAUUCCCUUAGUAACGGCGAGUGAAGCGGGAAGAGCUCAAAUUUGAAAUCUUCAAGGUUUUACCUUGACGAAUUGUAGUUUAAAGAAGUGUUUUCUGCUGGAGUUUUGGUAAAAGUUCUUUGGAAUAGGACAUCAUAGAGGGUGAGAAUCCCGUAUUUGACCAUUAUUUCAGCUUUGUGAUACACUUUCAAAGAGUCGGAUUGUUUGGGAAUGCAGUCCAAAAUGGGUGGUAAAUUUCAUCUAAAGCUAAGUAUUGGCGAGAGACCGAUAGCGAACAAGUACCGUGAGGGAAAGAUGAAAAGAACUUUGAAAAGAGAGUUAAACAGUACGUGAAAUUGUCAAAAGGGAAGCGUUUGACACCAGUGUUGUUUUCUCGAAAAUCAAUUAAAAAUGGCUCGAUUUUGUAUUGUUGAGACCUUAAAAGCUCACUGUACAUUUUUCGUGUCUUUUUUAAUGCACUUUUCGUUUAACAAGUCAACAUCAGUUUCUUUUGUUGUAAAAGGGUCAUUGGAAGGUGGCUUUCUUUUCGGAGAAAGUGUUUAUAGCCUUUGGCCUCUGCAAUCGGGAGAGACUGAGGUCUGCAGCGUAGACUCUUCGGGGUUAGAUACAUUUGUGCUAAGUUAUAGCUUUUUAUAGACAACUUGUUGACUAUAAUUAGUCUUGUAGCUUACUCGCUUAUGCUAUUUUACCUACGCUUAGGAUGUUGAAGAUGUAGCACAUCAU